UUCAUAGGCCGUCCGGAUUUUACAGUGAAAGCUGUGUGCCAUCUUCGCACAUUUCAUUGACGCAGACAAAGCAAAAUAGUAUGCGACUGAUAUUGUCUGAAUGCCGCAGCUGCAAAGUGACGCCAUUGACACGCCUUCCGAGAAAUGACAGAAGCGAGCGUCGCGUCCUAUGGCCGUCUAUGUCCUCCUAUGUAUAGCGUAUGGCCUGUCACGGAGCCAGCGCAUUGUGGUAAACCUGAUGUCCUCCAAUUUAUUGCGAAUGGCAAACCAGCGGAAAAGUACCAAUUCCCAUGGAUGGUUCAUCUAGAGUUGACUGUUCCCGAUGGAAGUGAGUACGGAUGUGGAGGAACCAUUAUAACGAAGCUCCACGUGCUCACCGCGGCGCACUGUCUGCACAUGUGAGUAAACUCAGGCUUCGUAGUGCAAAACAUAGAACUAAUCGUGGAUGUAUU
rnacentral:lncRNA from 1 species